CCCUUAGAUGUUCUGGGCCGCACGCGCGCUACACUGACGGAGUCAACGAGUUGUCCUGCAUCGGAGGGUGUGGGUAAUCUUUUGAAACUUCGUCGUGCUGGGGAUAGAUCUUUGCAAUUUUCGAUCUUGAACGAGGAAUUCCUAGUAAGCGUGAUUCAUCAGAUCGCGUUGAUUACGUCCCUGCCCUUUGUACACACCGCCCGUCGCUACUACCGAUUGAAUGGUUUAGUGAGGCCUCGGGACUGGCGCGCUCGAGUAGCAAUACACCUGCGCGCCGGGAACUUGGUCAAACUUGAUCAUUUAGAGGAAGUAAAAGUCGUAACA
rnacentral:rRNA from 1 species